rnacentral:rRNA from 1 species
CAGGAUGAACGCUGGCGGCGUGCCUAACACAUGCAAGUCGAACGGGACUAUCAAGUGAUGUUUCGGACUGAACUUUUAGUUAGUGGCGGACGGGUGAGUAACGCGUGGACAACCUGCCUCUCACUGGGGGGAUAGCAGCUGGAAACGGCUGGUAAUACCGCAUACGUUCAAUGUGCCGCAUGACACAUUGAAGAAAGAUUUAUCGGUGAGAGAUGGGUCCGCGUCUGAUUAGCCAGUUGGCGGGGUAACGGCCCACCAAAGCGACGAUCAGUAGCCGGCCUGAGAGGGCGGACGGCCACAUUGGGACUGAGACACGGCCCAGACUCCUACGGGAGGCAGCAGUGGGGGAUAUUGCACAAUGGGCGCAAGCCUGAUGCAGCGACGCCCGCGUGAGUGAAGAAGUAUUUCGGUAUGUAAAGCUCUAUCAGCAGGGAAGAAAGGCCCGCAAGGGAGAUGACGGUACCUGACUAAGAAGCCCCGGCUAACUACGUGCCAGCAGCCGC